rnacentral:misc_RNA from 1 species
GCAAACUUGGUCAUUUAGAGGAAGUAAAAGUCGUAACAAGGUUUCCGUAGGUGAACCUGCGGAAGGAUCAUUAAAAAAUAGCGCUAGCUAUAUCCCACCUUGUGUGCAAACAAUGGAAAGAGAAAAUGGAAUUCAGAACACUUUUUCUUUGGGGGAAAGUGUUACCAAAUUCUCUAUAAUUUUUUUUAUAAAUACCAUCAAAAAUUAAUUUGAAAAAAAAAUUUUUUAAUAAAAAUUAUUAUACAACUUUCAACAACGGAUCUCUUGGCUCUCGCAUCGAUGAAGAACGCAGC